UACGGAGGCAGCAUGGGGAUAUUGGACAAUGGGGCGAAAGCCUGAUCCAGCCAUGCCGCAUGAGUGAAGAAGGCCUUCGGGGUUGUAAAGCUCUUUUAGUGAGAAAGUAAUGACGGUACUCACAGAAGAGUCCUGGCUAACUCCGUGCCAGCAGCCGCGGUAAUACGGAGAGGGCUAGCGUUAUUCGGAAUUAUUGGGCGUAAAGAGCGCGUAGGCUGAUAGUAAGUUAAAAGUGAAAUCCCAAAGCUUAACUUUGGAAUUGCUUUUUAAAACUGCUAGUCUAGAGAUUGAAAGAGGAUAGAGGAAUUCCUAGUGUAGAGGUGAAAUUCGUAAAUAUUAGGAGGAACACCAGUGGCGAAGGCGUCUAUCUGGUUCAAAUCUGACGCUGAGGCGCGAAGGCGUGGGGAGCAAACAGGGAUUAGAUACC
rnacentral:rRNA from 1 species